GAUGAACGCUGGCGGCGUGCCUAAUACAUGCAAGUCGAGCGAACGGACGAGAAGCUUGCUUUUCUGAUGUUAGCGGCGGACGGGUGAGUAACACGUGGAUAACCUACCUAUAAGACUGGGAUAACUUCGGGAAACCGGAGCUAAUACCGGAUAAUAUUUUGAACCGCAUGGUUCAAAAGUGAAAGACGGUCUUGCUGUCACUUAUAGAUGGAUCCGCGCUGCAUUAGCUAGUUGGUAAGGUAACGGCUUACCAAGGCAACGAUGCAUAGCCGACCUGAGAGGGUGAUCGGCCACACUGAAACUGAGACACGGUCCAGACUCCUACGGGAGGCAGCAGUAGGGAAUCUUCCGCAAUGGGCGAAAGCCUGACGGAGCAACGCCGCGUGAGUGAUGAAGGUCUUCGGAUCGUAAAACUCUGUUAUUAGGGAAGAACAUAUGUGUAAGUAACUGUGCACAUCUUGACGGUACCUAAUCAGAAAGCCACGGCUAACUACGUG
rnacentral:rRNA from 1 species